UGCAGUCGCACGAGAAGCUUCAGCUUGCUGGAGCAAGUAAAGUGGCGCACGGGUGAGUAACGCGUGGGUAAUCUACCCUCGAAUUGGGGAUAACAUCGCGAAAGCGAUGCUAAUACCGAAUGAAAUCCUGAAAAUACAUGUUUUCGGGAUCAAAGAUGGCCUCUACAUGUAAGCUAUUGUUUGGGGAUGAGCUCGCGUACCAUUAGCUUGUUGGUAGGGUAAUGGCCUACCAAGGCUACGAUGGUUAGCUGGUCUGAGAGGAUGAUCAGCCACACUGGAACUGACACACGGUCCAGACUCCUACGGGAGGCAGCAGUGAGGAAUUUUGCGCAAUGGGGGAAACCCUGACGCAGCAACGCCGCGUGAGUGAUGAAGGCUUUCGGGUCGUAAAGCUCUGUCAAGUGGGAAGAAUCCAUAUGGUGUUAAUAUCACCGUAUGCUGACGGUACCACUGAAGGAAGCACCGGCUAACUCCGUG
rnacentral:rRNA from 1 species